GCCCUUUACCCAUCAGGUCUAACCACCAGCCUGAGUGGCUCUAAAAGGAGGGAAAGCACAAUUGAAACUGACUGCAAUUCUUGUGUGUGACACACGAGCUAGUUUUUAUCAAAC
rnacentral:snoRNA from 1 species